rnacentral:rRNA from 1 species
UACGUAGGUGGCGAGCGUUGUCCGGAUUUACUGGGCGUAAAGAGCGCGCAGGCGGUCGUACAAGUCGCGUGUGAAAGCCCCCGGCUCAACUGGGGAGGGUCACGCGAUACUGUUCGACUCGAAGGCAGGAGAGGGUAGUGGAAUUCCCGGUGUAGCGGUGAAAUGCGCAGAUAUCAGGAGGAACACCGGUGGCGAAGGCGGGUCUCUGGGCAACAACUGACGCUGAGGAGCGAAAGCGUGGGGAGCGAACAGG